rnacentral:rRNA from 1 species
UACGUAGGGUGCGAGCGUUACUCGGAAUUACUGGGCGUAAAGCGUGCGCAGGCGGUUUGCUAAGACCGAUGUGAAAUCCCCGGGCUUAACCUGGGAACUGCAUUGGUGACUGGCAGGCUAGAGUAUGGCAGAGGGGGGUAGAAUUCCACGUGUAGCAGUGAAAUGCGUAGAGAUGCGGAGGAACACCGAUGGCGAAGGCAGCCCCCUGGGCUGACACUGACGCUCAGGCACGAAAGCGUGGGGAGCAAACAGG